rnacentral:rRNA from 1 species
AGGAUGAACGCUGGCGGCGUGCCUAAUACAUGCAAGUCGAGCGCCCCUUUAAGAGGUGACAAUCAUUGAUUGUCGGUUCCUAUGGGGAGCGGCGGACGGCUGAGUAACACGUGGGAACAUGCCCCAAAGUGAGGGAUAAGCACCGGAAACGGUGUCUAAUACCGCAUAUGAUCUUCGGAUUAAAGCUUUAUGCGCUUUGGGAGUGGCCUGCGUCCUAUUAGAUAGUUGGUGAGGUAAAGGCUCACCAAGUCAACGAUGGGUAGCUGGUCUGAGAGGAUGACCAGCCAGACUGGAACUGAGACGCGGUCCAGACUCCUACGGGAGGCAGCAGUAAGGAAUCUUCACAAUGGGCGAAAGCCUGAUGGAGCAACGCCGCGUGCAGGAUGAAGGCCUUCGGUACGUAAACUGUCUUUUAUGAGUGAAGAAUAUGACGUAAUCAUGAAAUAAGGUCGACUAACUACGUGCCAGCAAGCCGACGGUAAUCGUA